CGAAUUUCUGAAAAUUCAUUCAUUUAUCUACACAGUGAUACUAUCCAUUUGAUUCAGUAAUCUGUCGCAUUUUUCCGCAAGGGCUAUUUAUAAACACAUCGUUUCUGAGAGUGGCCAAAAACAAGAACAAUUUGAUGACUCAUAAGGCAUGCAACCUUAAAAGCCGAGAGUAUCCGAAUUAACCAGGAAGUAAUUUUUGUUUACUUUUUAAAUGCCAACCUCUGUAAAUAGUAAUUUACUUGGAGUAAACAUUGAGUGAGAAAUAAAGCCAUAGAAUACAUUCAUACCAUUCAAAUUCAGCCAGUCAGAAUGAUGGGAAGGAUUGCAGAACUGAGUUUCACUCUCACCUGACUGAUGCAGAUUCAGUACCCUAAUUGCUCAUGAUGGUUUCUGAGAAAAAAAAAGCUUGGUGUAAUUUGACAGUAUUUUUCAGUAUUUGACAGUGGUUCUAUCAUGCAACAGUCAUACCAUGAAGUGUCUCGUACAGCAUGAACAUUUCCUUCAUUUUUUGAGUGAUUAUAGAGUGAAAAUGUUUCCAUAUAAAAUGUUUUCUUUUUAUGUGUAAAACUUGUCAUGAAUGGUUACAAAUACAUGCAUGUUCAUUAUGAUUCCAAAUCUAUGCACAUUUUGAUUCCAAUAAUUAAAGUAUUUUAAAUUUGGUUUGAAACAGAAAUAUUGUCCUUAUGUUUGUUUCUAAACAUUAUCUGGUAUUAUUCGUGUUUAUAGUUUCCAUGUCAAUUUAAAAAAAAGUCGGUUCUUUUAAAGAUGCACUUUUACUCCCACAUAAGAUUUACCACAAUUAAUACUUUUGUUUUAUUAUUCCAAAAAGGAUGAAUAAAUGUUGGAAACAAUGGUUCUAAUGAAGGAUGCCUACUUCUACUUGAAGGAAAUGUGCAUAAAAGACAGUAUUUCUACCAUUUGAGAUCAUAGUAGAUCACAGUAAAUCUUUAUGCAUUCACCAAUCAUUUAAUAUCUUUGCUUUUUCAGCUUAAAUACACGGUUACAAUAUUUUUAUCAAUACUUAAUAUUUUCAAAAAAUGAAUUAUUAAGUAAGUUGUUAAAGGGUUAACAGUCAAAGUAUAUGUUUGUUAUGCAUGUGUAUGCAUUGAUACUGAAUAAGAGUGUCACUUUAAACAGUUGCCAUGGUAACUAUAGAGUCUAGUUUUCUUAAGAAACUGUAAUUGUUGUCUAAAAACCUUUGUAUUUUCAAUGUGAUACUUUUUAGCAUGUCCGCUUCAGUCAAUGAAAUAUUUGUUAAUCAUUUGGUCAUACUUUGUAUACAAUUAUAUUUAUAAUUUAACCUUGAAAAUUGCUGACAAUCUCAUACUUAUAUUGAAAUAUUCAGAAUUGCUAGAUGGGUUGAAGUUUACCUUUAUUACAACUGUCAGGCAAAUUAUGGCAAGAUGUACAUAAUUCUCCUUUUUAACAAAAAUCGAUGUUUAAAGCAUUUUUUGUAUUUUUAUUGAAUGAUUACCAUGGCAACUAAUUUUUUGUUUGCCUUUAAUCUUCCUAUUUAUAAUACUAUUAAUUGUAAAAAUGCAACAGUCAAGCAAUGAAUGGAAGAAUGUAAAUGUUCUUUGUCUUUUACCUUUUUCAAGCUCAUUCUUCAAAAUAUAAAGCAAUUUUAAAAUUUCUUAAAAAUGGACGUUUUUUCAUCAUUUUUUUAAAGUAAAAUAAUUUGCUUAAAACUUUGUUUAGGUUCUGAUAUUUAGGAAUGUGUAUUAAAUUUAUAGAAAAUAAACAAAAUGUGUUGUUUGACAUUAUUUAUUUCAUUUAAAUUCCGAAGUUUUGAAUUUGACCUAUUUUGGCAGAAAAAUUGAUAAAAAUGUUAAAUUAAAAGGGCCAUAAUUCUGUCAAAAAUUGAUGGAUUUUGAAAAAAUGUGCAUAUUUGAGUUUGUAAUGACGUAACCUUUAAAAUGAUAUAUCACUUUAAUAUACCGCAUUACAUUAAUUUUUUACGCUGAUAUUGCUACCUGAGCU